GAGAGAGGGAACCUUCUGAUCAAACCUCCACCGUCUUCUCGCCUCCUCCGUUUCAAUUGAUACCGGCAUGGGUGUCGAGUUCACCGUGAGUUCGCCGCUGUAAAGAUUUCGCUCAAGAUCUACCUACUCUAUCUCUGUUCAAGCUUCAUUGUUGAUUCCUUGUUUUCUCUUUCUCGUUGGCGUCGUCUGGAUGCUUGCUCAUGGUUAGCCAUGGAAGCUUGAUUUUGUCCUCUCUCUCGUUUGAUUCUUUGCAUACGUAUGUAUUGGUGAGUGAGGUACAAACUUUCCAUUUCUUUCGUUCAUCUGCGCAUGCGUUCGAGGAAGCAGGAGCUGUUCAUUUCCCUCAGUUCUUUGUUCAUCAUCCCCUGUUUCUCGCUGCAAACAUCUUCGCUCCUCUCUCGUUCAUGCUGUUGCAGAUUCUUCUUCCUUCCUCCUCCUUGUUCGUUCGCCUAGGAUCAUCUCCUUCUCUGCUCGAUCAAGCUGGUUCCAGGUGAGGAGCUUCGAUUUUUUUUUUUUUUGGGUAGCUGUGUGUGUGUGUGUGUAAUUAGUUGAGACAAUAUUACUUGGUGUGUGAGGCUACUGCUGUGCGUGAUUAUAGAAAGGGAGUAGGUUUCUGAACCAAGCAAAAAUCUUUGUAUGUUGUUUGUACUUGGAGUACAACUAAAUUUAUAUUGAUUUUGUUGAAAAAAUAAA